rnacentral:misc_RNA from 1 species
GAUGAAGAACGCAGCGAAAUGCGAUAAGUAAUGUGAAUUGCAGAAUUCAGUGAAUCAUCGAAUCUUUGAACGCACAUUGCGCCCCUUGGUAUUCCGAGGGGCAUGCCUGUUCGAGCGUCAUAUUAACCACUCCCGCUUGCGGGGUCUUGGGCUUCGCCUCCGGGCGGGCCUUAAAAUCAGUGGCGGUGCCGUCGGGCUCUACGCGUAGUAAAUUUUCUCGCGAUAGGGUCCCGGUGGAUGCUUGCCAACAACCCCCAACUUCUUAAGGUUGACCUCGGAUCAGGUAGGGAUACCCGCUGAACUUAAGCAUAUCAAUAACGGAGGA